GUCAGCACCCCGCACUGAAGUGACGGGGCUUCAUGCCUCUAGCUUCAGUUAGUUGACCAGCCCAAGUCUUAACUGACUACGUUACCUGAGUCAAGAUAAACAGGUUUACCUAUUUCAACUGGCUCUGGA
rnacentral:sRNA from 1 species